GACGAACGCUGGCGGCGUGCUUAACACAUGCAAGUCGAACGGUGAAGCGCCUUCCCUUUUGGUGGGUGUGGUUGAGUGGCGAACGGGUGAGUAACACGUGAGUAACCUGCCCCCUUCUUCGGGAUAACCGCAUGAACGUUUGGCUAAUACGGGUUAUUCUGGUUCUGUCGCAUGUUGGGUUUGGGAAAGAUAUUGUUUCGGAGGGGGAUGUGCUCGCGGAUUAUCUGCUUGUUGGGGUGGUGUUGGCCUACGCAGGCGAUGACGAGUAGACGGGAUGGGAGGGUGGACGGCCCCAGGGGGACGGCGCGGCCGAGCAGACUCCGGGAGGAGGCAGCAGGGGGGAAUAUGGAACAGGGGGCGGAAGGCUGAUGCAGCGACGCGGCGUGGGAGAUGGAGGUCGGCGGGUUGUGAACCGCUUUCGGGAGUGAAGGAGGGCGGCCUCGUUUGUGGGUGGGUUGACGGUAGCUGGAUAAGAAGCGCCGGCUAACUACGUG
rnacentral:rRNA from 1 species